UCCCUGGUGGUCUAGUAGUCAGGAUUCAGUGCUUUCAAUGCCAGGGCCUGGGUUCAGACCCCGGUCAGGGAA
rnacentral:tRNA from 1 species